GAGAGAGGAGACAGAAAGAGACAGAAAGAGUCUCCAGACAUCAACAGUAUCCCACCAGUCGGCUUCUUUUUUUGUUUAUCUGCCGCCUCCCGACCUCUAGACCACGUACCAAACCGACACAGACACCCAAGAACCCGUGAUAGUCAUCCCAAGAACCCGCCAUAGUCACCCAAGAUCGCGCUCAUCAACACGCCCACCGUUUCAGUCUCAAACUGUCCCGUGUCUGACCGCUAGCCCCAAAAUAUCCAGCAAGCCUGACACCCCCCAACUGCACACUCACUCACACACCCGACUGAUCAGACAGCCCCAACCUGCUGUUGAAACCGGAACAGCACAUACUUAUAUAUACACUUGCCCCCGCUCCACCCACCACAUCACCAACGUCACUUGCCACAAUGAAACAAUUGGUCGUCAUGGUGGACCCCUCGGACCCCAACACAAUCACAGAGUGGUAUUGCUGUCAGUGUGGCGAGUACCACGGCAAGCCGCCCACCCGCUACGAUUGUAAGCGAUGCACCCACGGACUGUGUCCCUACUGUCCUCGAAAGCGAGUGGGUGAUGAGAAGCAGCGUGAGUCGUGAUCUAGGCGAGGACUAGGCGAGCGGAGCGAGUCUAGGACGAGACGAGUUCUGGAUCAAGUUGCGAGUUCUGGAUCGAGUUGCGAGUUGAGUUAUUUGAGCUACUUCAAAGCCCGACACCAACGUCGAAGCCCUAUGCCAACGCCCUACGCCAAAGCCCUACGCCAAUUGAACCAGCCUGACUCCGUUCUACUCCCCCUCCCCUUCACCCUCCCUCACCGUCACGUCCCUUGCAUAGCAUAGCCAUCUGGAAUGGCCUGUAUAUAUUUAACGAUGAAGAUGAGACUGCCGUAACGUCGUGCACUAGCCCUGUGCCCGACAUGACCUUGCGUGACAAACGCAUUUUGAUCUGUCCUGCAAAUGCAGCUGCUAUGCGCGGUUUAGCAAUGCCGGUUAGAGCGAAAGAACGGGUCACGUGGAGGUUGUCAUAUUAUUUCGUCACGUGAGAUUUGUACUGGUGGUCACGAGAUUUGACAAACCUCCUACGCUUUUUAUUCGGCGAUUAUGCCGUGAUGCUUUAGGAGUUGAUGUGAUGCAGAGUGAGCAGAGUGAGCAGAGUGAGCAGAGUGAGCAGAGUGAGAAGAGUUAGCAGAGUGAGCAUGGUUUACGGGAAAGCAAAGUGUGGGUGUUGUAUGUUGCAAUAUGGGUGUCUUAUAUGAUGGAUUUGAGGUACAAGAAUGUUUGUUUCGGGCGCGAGUACUUUCUGUACGGUGGUUGUACUGGUAUCACGGAUCUGACGGUAUUGUAUGUUGUUGUCUUG
rnacentral:misc_RNA from 1 species